rnacentral:snRNA from 1 species
UACAUAUGUCAUGCCAAUAAAAAAAAAGAAAAAAAAAAAAGAUUCUUUCGCCUUUUACUAAAGAAUUCCGUGGAGGGGAGCAUUUCAAUGAGUCUUAAGAUAUUUUUCUGCACAUGACUUCGGUUAGGUU